rnacentral:rRNA from 1 species
GAGGGGGAAGGCUACCAUGCAGUCGAACGGUAACAGGAAGCAGCUUGCUGCUUCGCUGACGAGUGGCGGACGGGUGAGUAAUGUCUGGGAAACUGCCUGAUGGAGGGGGAUAACUACUGGAAACGGUAGCUAAUACCGCAUAACGUCGCAAGACCAAAGAGGGGGACCUUCGGGCCUCUUGCCAUCGGAUGUGCCCAGAUGGGAUUAGCUAGUAGGUGGGGUAACGGCUCACCUAGGCGACGAUCCCUAGCUGGUCUGAGAGGAUGACCAGCCACACUGGAACUGAGACACGGUCCAGACUCCUACGGGAGGCAGCAGUGGGGAAUAUUGCACAAUGGGCGCAAGCCUGAUGCAGCCAUGCCGCGUGUAUGAAGAAGGCCUUCGGGUUGUAAAGUACUUUCAGCGGGGAGGAAGGGAGUAAAGUUAAUACCUUUGCUCAUUGACGUUACCCGCAGAAGAAGCACCGGCUAACUCCGUGCCAGCAGCCGCGGUAAUACGGAGGGUGCAAGCGUUAAUCGGAAUUACUGGGCGUAAAGCGCACGCAGGCGGUUUGUUAAGUCAGAUGUGAAAUCCCCGGGCUCAACCUGGGAACUGCAUCUG